rnacentral:rRNA from 1 species
AACGAACGCUGGCGGCGCGCCUAAUACAUGCAAGUCGAGCGAGAAGACGUAGCAAUACGUUUGUAAAGCGGCGAACGGGUGAGGAAUACAUGGGUAACCUACCCUCGAGUGGGGAAUAACUAGCCGAAAGGUUAGCUAAUACCGCGUACGCUCCUUGGACUUCGGUUCAGGGAGGAAAGCGAUACCGUGGGUAUCGCGCUCUUGGACGGGCUCAUGUCCUAUCAGCUUGUUGGUGAGGUAACGGCUCACCAAGGCUUCGACGGGUAGCUGGUCUGAGGGGACGAUCAGCCACACUGGCACUGCGACACGGGCCAGACUCCUACAGGAGGCAGCAGUAAGGAAUAUUGCGCAAUGGGCGAAAGCCUGACGCAGCGACGCCGCGUGGGGAUGAAGGUCUUCGGAUUGUAAACCCCUUUCGGGAGGGAAGAUGGAACGAGCAAUCGUUCGGACGGUACCUCCAGAAGCAGCCACGGCUAACUUCGUGCCAGCAGCCGCUGUAAG